ACCAGACUCCUACGGGAGGCAGCAGUGGGGAAUAUUGGGCAAUGGGCGCAAGCCUGACCCAGCAACGCCGCGUGAAGGAAGAAGGCUUUCGGGUUGUAAACUUCUUUUAAGAGGGAAGAGUAGAAGACGGUACCUCUUGAAUAAGCCACGGCUAACUACGUGCCAGCAGCCGCGGUAAUACGUAGGGGGCAAGCGUUAUCCGGAUUCACUGGGUGUAAAGGGAGCGUAGACGGCGACGCAAGUCUGGAGUGAAAGCCCGGGGCCCAACCCCGGGACUGCUCUGGAAACUGCGUCGCUGGAGUACGGGAGGGGCAGGCGGAAUUCCUGGUGUAGCGGUGAAAUGCGUAGAUAUCAGGAGGAACACCGGCGGCGAAGGCGGCCUGCUGGACCGUGACUGACGUUGAGGCUCGAGAGCGUGGGGAGCAAACAGGAUUAGAUACCCCCGUA
rnacentral:rRNA from 1 species